rnacentral:rRNA from 1 species
UACGUAGGGGGCGAGCGUUGUCCGGAUUUAUUGGGCGUAAAGAGCGUGUAGGCGGCCAGGUAGGUCCGUUGUGAAAACUCGAGGCUCAACCUCGAGACGUCGAUGGAAACCAUCUGGCUAGAGUCCGGAAGAGGAGAGUGGAAUUCCUGGUGUAGCGGUGAAAUGCGCAGAUAUCAGGAAGAACACCAAUGGCGAAGGCAGCUCUCUGGGACGGUACUGACGCUGAGACGCGAAAGCGUGGGGAGCGAACAGG